AUUGAACGCUGGCGGCAGGCCUAACACAUGCAAGUCGAACGAGUGGCGGACGGGUGUGUCAUGUCUGGGAAACUGCUUGAUGGAGGGGGAAAACUACUGGAAACGGUAGCUAAUCCCGCAUACCAUCAGAUGUGCCAAGAUGGGAUUAGCUUGUUGGUGGGGUAACGGCUCACCAAGUCGACGAUCCCUAGCUGGUCUGAGAGGAUGACCAGCCACACGGGAACUGAGACACGGUCCAGACUCCUACGGGAGGCAGCAGUGGGGAAUAUUGCACAAUGGGCGAAAGCCUGAUGCAGCCAUGCCGCGUGUAUGAAGAAGGCCUUCGGGUUGUAAAGUACUUUCAGCGUGGAGGCGUUACCCGCACAAGAAGCACCGGCUAACUCCGUGCCAGCAGCCGCGGUAAUAC
rnacentral:rRNA from 1 species